rnacentral:rRNA from 1 species
CCUACGGGAGGCAGCAGUGAGGAAUAUUGGUCAAUGGGCUUACGCCUGAACCAGCCAAGUCGCGUGAGGGAAGACUGACCUAUGGGUUGUAAACCUCUUUUGUCAGGGAGCAACGCCUGCUACGUGUAGCCUGACUGAGAGUACCUGAAGAAAAAGCAUCGGCUAACUCCGUGCCAGCAGCGGCGGUAAUACGGGGGAUGCGAGCGUUAUCCGGAUUUAUUGGGUUAAAGGGGUGCGUAGGCGGAAUGCCAAGUCAGCGGUAAAAGCGCGGGGCUCAACCUCGCUCCGCCGUUGAAACUGGAGGUCUUGAGUGGGCGAGAGGUAUGCGGAAUGCGUGGUGUAGCGGUGAAAUGCAUAGAUAUCACGAAGAACUCCGAUUGCGAAGGCAGCAUACCGGCGCCCAACUGACGCUGAGGCACGAAAGCGUGGGGAUCGAACAGGAUUAGAUACCCCAGUAGUC